rnacentral:rRNA from 1 species
AACGAACGCUGGCGGCAUGCCUAACACAUGCAAGUCGAACGAGACCUUCGGGUCUAGUGGCGCACGGGUGCGUAACGCGUGGGAACCUGCCCUUAGGUUCGGAAUAACUCCCCGAAAGGGGUGCUAAUACCGGAUAAUGUCUUCGGACCAAAGAUUUAUUGCGUUUGGAUGGGCCCUCGUUGGAUUAGCUAGUUGGUAGGGUAAAAGCAUACCAAGGCGACGAUCCAUAGCUUGGCUCAGAGGCUGGUCAGCCACACUGGGACUGGGACACGGCCCAGACUCCUACGGGAGGCAGCAGUGGGUAAUAUUGGACAAUGGGCGGAGGCCUGAUCCAGCAAUGCCGGGAGAGUGAUGAAGGCCGUAGAGUUGUAAAGCUCUUUUACCCGGGAUGAUAAUGACAGUACCGGGAGAAUAAGCUCCGGCUAACUCCGUG